rnacentral:rRNA from 1 species
UUUUACAAUGUAGAGUUUGAUCCUGGCUCAGGAUGAACGCUAGCUACAGGCUUAACACAUGCAAGUCGCAGGGUAACAUGAGGAAAGC